rnacentral:lncRNA from 1 species
CCUAUUGUAUGCACAUAAGAAUACAGCCUCAAUAUAGUGUUCCAUCAAUUGAUAUAUUUAAAUGAUAAGUCAUUAAUUAGAAAAGGCCAUGCCCAAACUUAAAGGAACAUGCAUAGACCUAUGAUUUUAGUGUGCUCAGGUUUGCAAAACCAAUUAUUUUUUAUGAAAUUUGUUAGAUCAACUAUGAAAGCAUCGCAAGGACA